AGAGUUUUAGUUUAAUUAAAAUAUCUGUGUUGCAAGCAGAAGAUGUAAUUUGUUGCAAACUCUC
rnacentral:tRNA from 1 species